rnacentral:rRNA from 1 species
UAGUCCACGCCGUAAACGAUGGAUACUAGGUGUCCGGGAUAUUAACCUCCUGGGUACUACAGUUAACGCGUUAAGUAUCCCGCCUGGGGAGUACGGUCGCAAGGCCAAAACUCAAAGGAAUUGACGGGGGCCCGCACAAGCGGUGGAGCAUGUGGUUAAUUCGAAGCAACGCGCAGAACCUUACCAACCCUUGACAUCCUAGGACCGGCCCAGAGAUGGGUCUUUCACUUCGGUGACCUAGUGACAGGUGCUGCAUGUCUGUCGUCAGCUCGUGUCGUGAGAUGUUGGGUUAAGUCCCGCAACGAGCGCAACCCUUGUCUUUAGUUGCCAUCAUUCAGUUGGGCACUCUAAAGAGACUGCCGGUGACAAACCGGAGGAAGGUAAGGAUGACGUCAAGUCAGCAUGCCCCUUACGCCCUGGGCUACACACGUGCUACAAUGGUCGUGACAAAGGGUUGCUAAUCUGCAAAGACAUGCUAAUCUCAUAAACACGGCCUCAGUUCGGAUUGCAGG